ACUUUUAACAUGCAAGUCGAGCGGUAACAGACAUAAAGAUUCAGCUUGCUGAAUCCGGUGCUGACGAGCGGCGAACGGGUGAGUAACGCGUAGGAAUCUACCCAGUAGCGGGGGAUAGCCCGGGGAAACCCGGAUUAAUACCGCAUACGCCCUAAGGGGGAAAGGGGGCAGCUUGCUGCUUUCACUAUUGGAUGAGCCUGCGUAAGAUUAGCUUGUUGGUAGGGUAAAGGCCUACCAAGGCAACGAUCUUUAGCUGGUCUGAGAGGACGAUCAGCCACAUUGGGACUGAGACACGGCCCAGACAUCUACGGAUGGCAGCAGUUAAGAAUAUUGGACAAUGGGGGCAACCCUGAUCCAGGUAUACCGCGUGUGUGAAGAAGGCCCUAGGGUUGUAAAGCACUUUAAUCAGAGAAGAAGCAUUUUAAGUUAAUACCUUAAUAUGUUGACGUUACCUGAAGAAUAAGGACCGGCUAACUCCGUGCCAGCAGCCGCGGUAAUACGGAGGGUCCAAGCGUUAAUCGGAAUUACUGGGCGUAAAGCGCGCGUAGGCGGUUUAGCAAGUUGAAUGUGAAAGCCCUGGGCUCAACCUAGGAACUGCAUUCAAAACUACUAAGCUAGAGUACGAGAGAGGAGAGUAGAAUUUCUGGUGUAGCGGUGAAAUGCGUAGAUAUCAGAAGGAAUACCAAUGGCGAAGGCAGCUCUCUGGCUCGUCACUGACGCUAAGGUGCGAAAGCGUGGGUAGCAAACAGGAUUAGAUACCCUGGUAGUCCACGCCGUAAACGAUGAGAACUAGCCGUUGGGCAGAUUUAACUGUUCAGUGGCACAGCUAACGCAUUAAGUUCUCCGCCUGGGGAGUACGGCCGCA
rnacentral:rRNA from 1 species